UGGAUGAGGUGCUAAUCGCCGGAUGA
rnacentral:piRNA from 1 species